GCGACCUUAGCUCAGUUUGGUUAGAGCAUCACCUUGACAUGGUGGGGGUCGGUGGUUCGAGUCCACUAGGUCGCACCA
rnacentral:tRNA from 2 species